rnacentral:rRNA from 1 species
CAUAUCAAUAAGCGGAGGAAAAGAAACCAACAGGGAUUGCCUUAGUAACGGCGAGUGAAGCGGCAACAGCUCAAAUUUGAAAUCUGGCCCUCGGGUCCGAAUUGUAAUUUGUAGAGGAUGAUUUUGGUGCGGUAUCUUCCGAGUUCCUUGGAACAGGACGCCUUAGAGGGUGAGAGCCCCGUACGGUUGAAUGCCUAGCCUCUGUAAAUCUCCUUCGACGAGUCGAGUAGUUUGGGAAUGCUGCUCUAAAUGGGAGGUAAAUUUCUUCUAAAGCUAAAUAUUGGCCAGAGACCGAUAGCGCACAAGUAGAGUGAUCGAAAGAUGAAAAGCACUUUGAAAAGAGGGUUAAAUAGCACGUGAAAUUGUUGAAAGGGAAGGAUUUGUGACCAGACUUUUUCUGGGCGGAUCAUCCGGGGUUCUCUCCGGUGCACUUUGCCCAGUAAAGGCCAGCAUCGAUUUUCGGCGGCGGAUAAAAGCAGUGGGAAUGUGGCUCCCUACGGGGAGUGUUAUAGCCCAUUGUAUAAUACGCUGCUGGGGAUCGAGGUACGCGCUUCUGCAAGGAUGCUGGCGUAAUGGUUAUCAAUCACCCGUCUUGAAACACGGACCAAGGAGUCGAACAUUUAUGCGAGUGUUUGGGUGUUAAACCCUCACGCGUAAUGAAAGUGAACGGAGGUGAGAGCCCGUACGGGUGCAUCAUCGACCGAUCCUGAAGUUUUCGGAUGGAUUUGAGUAAGAGCAUAACUGUUCGGACCCGAAAGAUGGUGAACUAUGCGUGGAUAGGGUGAAGCCAGAGGAAACUCUGGUGGAGGCUCGCAGCGGUUCUGACGUGCAAAUCGAUCGUCAAAUCUGCGCAUGGGGGCGAAAGACUAAUCGAACCAUCUAGUAGCUG